rnacentral:rRNA from 1 species
UACGGAGGGGGCAAGCGUUAUCCGGAAUUUAUUGGGCGUAAAGAGCUCGUAGGCGGUUUGUCGCGUCUGCUGUGAAAACUGGAGGCUCAACCUCCAGCCUGCAGUGGGUACGGGCAAACUAGAGUGCGGUAGGGGAGAUUGGAAUUCCUGGUGUAGCGGUGAAUGCGCAGAUAUCAGGAGGAACACCGAUGGCGAAGGCAGAUCUCCUGGGCCGUAACUGACGCUGAGGAGCGAAAGCAUGGGGAGCAACAGGAUUAGAACCUACGUACG